rnacentral:tRNA from 1 species
GCGGGCUGGUAGAACGCCACAGUGCUCUGAAGCUUGAAUCCUUAGCUUCAUGUGGAGAUGCAGGUUCGAAUCCUGCCGAUCGCGC